CCCGCUUUUUUUUUUCAAUACAUCCCGCUUUUUUUUUCCAAUAUCUCUUAAACUAUUAAGCACUAAACGCAGAAAACCUAAUUUAAAAAACCUAAUUACAAAACGUGCAUCUUGGUUUCCUUCAUGCGUAUCUUUUUCUCUUUUACCUUCCACCAUAUUUUCUCUGCACAUCUACGUUGCUGCCGCCUCCUGAUCUCCUGCUGUGAAAGCGUGAAUAACUGGAAAAAGGCAACGCUGGUCUCGUCGGUGUAGGCGCAACAACAUAUUCAUCCUCCUGCUAGCGAACCCGACCACUGUCUCUAAAUCUCAAAGCCACGUCACCUAUGGCACCCGUUGGAAACAAACCUCGACGUUCUAUUGGACCCAUGCUUGACACUGUAGUUCCGGAAACUCAAAAUCAGAAUAAUGCAAAUAUCGAUCCUGACUUGGAUGAAUCAUUUUUUGAUAACAACUCGGGAAACAAUAAUACAAUUGAAUCCCCAUCUGAUGAUAGUGAUGAUGAGCAUAUACAAAAUAGUGAAGAUGAUGCGAAUAAUCAAGAAUUACUAAAAAGAGGACAUGCGAAGAUGGGAUUUGAGUAGGGCACUGGAAAGGUGAUGAUCCUAGAAUUAGAUCUUGAAAAUCACGUAGUUGGGAGCAACGCUGCUUUAUUUGCAUCUCACUUGGGAAUUCUGGCAAAAGAUGGAAAUAGAUUACCCCUUUCGUAUACAGACUGGAGAGCGGUGCCCAAUAUACAAAAGGAUCUUGUCUGGACUGAAGUGAAGGAGAAUACAAAUUUGACAGAUAAUUACAAAAAAAAUUGUUUGAAAAAGAUUGGCAAAUUGUGGAAGGAUUGGAAAAAUAGAUUGAAAGCAAAACAUUAUACUCCACAUAGACAUGACAAAAGCUACAUACUAUCUAACUGUCCUCAGAGGGUAGAAGCUGAUCAGUGGCCAAAAUUGGUGAAUCAUUGGAGCUCUAGUCACCUAUGAAUAUUCGUAUAGAUGAUGCACCUCCGCAGGAACAAAGGAAACGUGCAACAAGGAAAAGCAAGAGGAAGUCAGAAUGAUGUUGAAUUUUCAUUGUCGCUUAUAGGAUUUACAUUCUUGCAUAGUUAGAUAAUUUAGACUUUGAUAUUUGUCUAUUUGAUGUUAGACUUUUGAACCAUAUGUUAUUUUUCAAUUUGACAUUUACACAAAAUUUAUUUUUAUAUUUUAAUUAAUUGA